CCUACGGGUGGCAGCAGUGAGGAAUAUUGGUCAAUGGGCGAGAGCCUGAACCAGCCAAGUAGCGUGAAGGAUGACUGCCCUACGGGUUGUAAACUUCUUUUAUCAGGGAAUAAAGUGUGGCACGUGUGCCCUUUUGUAUGUACUUUAUGAAUAAGGAUCGGCUAACUCCGGGCCAGCAGCCGCGGUAAUACGGAGGAUCCGAGCGUUAUCCGGGUUUUUGGGGUUUAAAGGGGGCGGAGAGGGGUUGUUAAGUCCGGUGGUAAAGUUUGCGGCUCAACCGUGAAAUUGCAAUUGAUACUGGCAGCCUCGAGGACAGGAGAGGUAGGCGGAAUGCGUGGUGUAGCGGUGAAAUGCAUAGAUAUCACGAAGAACUCCGAUUGCGAAGGCAGCAUACUGGACUGCCACUGACACUGAGGCACGAAAGUGUGGGUAUCAAACAGGAUUAGAUACCCCUGUAGUC
rnacentral:rRNA from 1 species